UACGUAGGGUGCAAGCGUUGUCCGGAAUUAUUGGGCGUAAAGCGCGCGCAGGCGGUCCUUUAAGUCUGAUGUGAAAGCCCACGGCUCAACCGUGGAGGGUCAUUGGAAACUGGGGGACUUGAGUACAGAAGAGAAGAGUGGAAUUCCACGUGUAGCGGUGAAAUGCGUAGAGAUGUGGAGGAACACCAGUGGCGAAGGCGACUCUUUGGUCUGUAACUGACGCUGAGGAGCGAAAGCGUGGGGAGCAAACAGG
rnacentral:rRNA from 1 species